CCAAUAGCGUAUAUUAAAGUUGUUGCAGUUAAAAAGCUCGUAGUUGAACUUCGGGAUCAAUUGAUAUGGUCAUGCCUUGGUAUGUACUGUUCAUAUUGGUUCUCACCUUCUAAUGAACCAUAAUGUCACUUAUUUGAUGUUAUGGGGAAUUAGGACUGUUACCUUGAAAAAAUUAGAGUGUUUAAAGCAGGCCCACGCUUGGAUACAUUAGCAUGGAAUAAUGAAAUAGGACAUCGCAUUCUAUUUUGUUGGUUUCUAGGAUCGAUGUAAUGAUUAAUAGGGAUAGUUGGGGGCAUUAGUAUUCAAUUGUCAGAGGUGAAAUUCUUGGAUUUAUUGAAGACUAACUACUGCGAAAGCAUUUGCCAAGGAUGUUUUCAUUAAUCAAGAACGAAAGUUAGGGGAUCGAAGACGAUCAGAUACCGUCGUAGUCUUAACCAUAAACUAUGCCGACUAGGGAUCGGAUGAUGUUGAUUUUUUAAUGACUCAUUCGGCACCUUACG
rnacentral:rRNA from 1 species